rnacentral:pre_miRNA from 1 species
AUGUGACCUGUGGGCUUCCCUUUGUCAUCCUAUGCCUGGAGAUCAUAGUGAGGCAGGGACAGCAAAGGGAUGCUCAGCUGUCGUCUCU